rnacentral:rRNA from 1 species
CUACGUGCCAGCAGCCGCGGUAAUACGGAGGGUGCGAGCGUUAAUCGGAAUAACUGGGCGUAAAGGGCACGCAGGCGGUGACUUAAGUGAGAUGUGAAAGCCCCGGGCUUAACCUGGGAAUUGCAUUUCAUACUGGGUCGCUAGAGUACUUUAGGGAGGGGUAGAAUUCCACGUGUAGCGGUGAAAUGCGUAGAGAUGUGGAGGAAUACCGAAGGCGAAGGCAGCCCCUUGGGAAUGUACUGACGCUCAUGUGCGAAAGCGUGGGGAGCAAACAGGAUUAGAUACCCUGGUAGUCCACGCUGUAAACGAUGUCGAUUUGGGGGUUGAACUUUGAGUUUGGCGCCCGUAGCUAACGUGAUAAAUCGACCGCCUGGGGAGUACGGCCGCAAGGUUAAAACUCAAAUGAAUUGACGGGGGCCCGCACAAGCGGUGGAGCAUGUGGUUUAAUUCGAUGCAACGCGAAGAACCCUACCUACUCUUGACAUCCAGA